UACGAAGGGGGCUAGCGUUGCUCGGAAUCACUGGGCGUAAAGGGUGCGUAGGCGGUCCUUUAAGUCGGGGGUGAAAUCCUGGAGCUCAACUCCAGAACUGCCUUUGAUACUGGAGAUCUUGAGUUCGGGAGAGGUGAGUGGAACUGCGAGUGUAGAGGUGAAAUUCGUAGAUAUUCGCAAGAACACCAGUGGCGAAGGCGGCUCACUGGUCCAUUACUGACGCUGAGGUGCGAAAGCGUGGGGAGCAAACAGG
rnacentral:rRNA from 1 species